ACACAGCCCAAUAGUAUGCUCCUGCACAACCGGAGGCUGCAGUUUCAGGACCGCAGUUCUAGGACCGCAGUUCUAGGACCCUAUUCUUUUGUAACAGCGCCACCUACCGAAUUGGAUCACUAAAGAUGGACGACAUGGACAGCAAUCAGAGCAUGGUCAGCGGUUUGCCUUCUGGACUGAUGAGGCCAGAAACUUGCUCCAAGGAACUCUUCAGCCGCUGUACAGAGUGCUAUCUCAGAGGAAAUCCACAUUCAGGCUGUCGAUGACCACACUGCAGAGGGUAUACUCAACGGGAAGCCCUCUAAGUGGUCUCAUAAGCUAACCUCUUCCUGGGUGCCUGUCUACCUUGACAGUGAGGAACAACUGUCCUGUUUGCCUAUCUGAGAGGAGUGCUGCAUAGGACACCAACACAACUGAGCUUCACAGAUGAAGUGCAGAGGUUCAUUCAGACAGUCAACAUUUGUGGCACCAAAUGCAUUGAAAGUCACAGAUCAGGUGGAAUUUUGGAAAGAGGGUGCAGCCUGAAUACCAUCCUGCUGUUUCUC